UCAGUCUGUCAGUAAAAGUAGCCUAUUGGAGGCGAGGAUCCCUCCCUCCUCUUCCAUAGGCACCAGAAAUAAAAACUGAAAGAGACUCUAGCUUUGUGUUGCUCUCCUAAGUGCUGACCAACCACCCUGCACAAUGAUUUGGGAGGGCGGCCGGUCCUCUGGCUUGGCCAUAACCAGGGACUUCGGAGCUUCUCUGAGCAGGAGCCAACGAGAACUGAGGAAAACAAUGCGUGUGGUGGAAGUGACAAUAUCCUGGAAGGAAAGAAAGGAAGAAAGUUUGUGGUGGUGUCUGGGAGGAAGGGAUUGAAAAAGACAGAUCUCCAGCCUUUUUUCAACCUUCACCUCUCAGUCUCCAACUGGGAAGGAGAGGAGCCAGUGCUGUAUUUCUCUGUGUUCACACUCAAAUCCAAGGGGCUGAAUAUCUGAUUUAUGAGUCUUGGGGUGGAUGAAAAGAAGAUAG